rnacentral:rRNA from 1 species
AUUGAACGCUGGCGGCAGGCCUAACACAUGCAAGUCGAGCGAGCGGCGGACGGGUGAGUAAUGUAUGGGGACUGCCCGAUAGAGGGGGGUAACUACUGGAAACGGUGGCUAAUACCGCAUACUGUCGGAUAACCCAUAUGGGGUGGGCUAGUAGGGUAGGUAAUGGCUUACAUAGGCGACGAUCCCUAGCUGGUAUGAGAGGAUGAUCCGCCCACAGAGGACUGAUACACUGCCCAGACCCCUAAGGGGGCAGCAGUGGGGAAUAUUGCACAAUGGGCGCAAGCCUGAUGCAGCCAUGCCGCGGGUAUGAAGAAGGCCCUAGGGUUGUAAAGUACUUUCAGUCGGGAGGCGUUACCGACAGAAGAAGCACCGGCUAACUCCGUGCCAGCAGCCGCGGUAAUAC